rnacentral:rRNA from 1 species
GACGAACGCUGGCGGCGUGCUUAACACAUGCAAGUCGAACGGAGCGAAUGAAAGCUUGCUUUUAUGAGCUUAGUGGCAAACGGGUGAGUAACACGUAGACAACCUGCCGACAGGAUGGGGACAACAUUCCGAAAGGAAUGCUAAUACCGAAUGAAGCGGAGGAGAGGCAUCUCUCUUCCGUGAAAGAUGGCCUCUUUUUAUGCUAUCACCUGUUGAUGGGUCUGCGUCUGAUUAGCUGGUUGGUGAGGUAACGGCUCACCAAGGCGACGAUCAGUAGCCGGUCUGAGAGGAUGAACGGCCACAUUGGGACUGAGACACGGCCCAGACUCCUACGGGAGGCAGCAGUGGGGAAUCUUCCGCAAUGGGCGCAAGCCUGACGGAGCAACGCCGCGUGAGUGAAGAAGGUCUUCGGAUCGUAAAGCUCUGUUGACGGGGACGAACGUGCGGAGUGCGAAUAGCGCUUU